rnacentral:rRNA from 2 species
UGGGGAAUUUUGGACAAUGGGCGAAAGCCUGAUCCAGCCAUGCCGCGUGAGUGAAGAAGGCCUUCGGGUUGUAAAGCUCUUUCGGACAGAAAGAAAUCUUUCGGGAUAAUACCCCGGAAGGAUGACGGUACUGUAAGAAGAAGCACCGGCUAACUACGUGCCAGCAGCCGCGGUAAUACGUAGGGUGCGAGCGUUAAUCGGAAUUACUGGGCGUAAAGCGUGCGCAGGCGGUUACAUAAGACAGAUGUGAAAUCCCCGGGCUUAACCUGGGAACUGCGUUUGUGACUGUGUGACUGGAGUACGGCAGAGGGGGGUGGAAUUCCUGGUGUAGCAGUGAAAUGCGUAGAUAUCAGGAGGAACACCGAUGGCGAAGGCAGCCCCCUGGGCCUGUACUGACGCUCAUGCACGAAAGCGUGGGGAGCAAACAGG